rnacentral:rRNA from 1 species
UACAGAGGGUGCGAGCGUUGUUCGGAAUUAUUGGGCGUAAAGAGCUCGUAGGCGGCUUGUCACGUCGGGUGUGAAAGCCCGGGGCUUAACCCCAAGUCUGCGGUGGAUACGGGCAGACUAGAGGCAGGUAGGGGAGAACGGAAUUCCCGGUGUAGCGGUGAAAUGCGCAGAUAUCGGGAGGAACACCGGUGGCGAAGGCGGUUCUCUGGGCCUGUACUGACGCUGAGGAGCGAAAGCGUGGGGAGCGAACAGG